rnacentral:snoRNA from 1 species
GCAUGGCCGAAUUCUGUUCCAGCUGGUCUGUGGUGGAUACAGUCAGACACCAUGCAAAAGUCUCGUCUCAUUUCUGCUAAAUGACAGGAUGAGUGCUGUGCCCUGAGCCUCAUCCAGCUGUACAGGAAUGAGUACAAUG